CUUCUCCUCGCGCGAUUCUUCACCACGAAACCUAGCCACUCCUCCCUCUCCGAAUCGCCGAACGCGCCUCCCUCUCCGAAUCACCGAAGCGCUCCUCUCGCCGCAAAUGCGCCUCUCUCUUGUUGAAGCUACGGGACAAGACGUGCGACUCUCUCUCGCAGCGAGCCCUUUUCUACCGUGAGCUCUCCCUCGUCGUGAGCUCUCCAAAUCGCCCAUCACCCAUCCCUCUCGCGCCGAAGCUAGGAUCUACGACUCUCUCUCUAGCCAAAGCUCCCCUCUCGCCGCAAGCACGCCUCUCUCGCUCUGAGCUCUCCUGCGGCGAGCUCUCUCUCGCUAGAUCUAGGGUUUCUCACUCUGCAACCUCUCUUCGCGGACAAACUCCUUCACUGAAUUACUUCAACCAUGGAAGGAAGCUCCUCUGGAGGGAGGGAGUCAACUUUAACUUUGAUGAAUAAUCGCGAGGAGAGGUUUGACGUGUUUCUGCAUUCGCGGCGUUAUCAACUUCUCACGUGGAUAGUCCACUGGGAUGCAGAUGGUGGGAAGCCACUGGAGCUCAAUAGGAUUCUUAGACCUGGAGGUUUCUUUCUUUGGUCUACAACACAUGUUUACUGCUAAUGAGAGGGACCAAAGCAUCUAGAAGUGUAGUGACAUUUGUCAAUUUCUUUAAAUUUCAUGAUUUCCUUUGUCAUCAGCAAGACUACGUGGCUUUCGGGAGCUAGACUAUCUUAAAUUUUUAUUUAGCACCCUUUUAAAUUUUUUUCUGGAUCCGCUAUUGACAUUGACUACUCG